AAUCCCUUAUCAUAUAUAUAGUUUGCAAACAUUUUCUCCCAUGCUGUAGGUUGCCUUUAAUUAUGUUGAUUAUUUCUUUUGCUGUACAGAAGCUUUUUCUAAUUUAAUGUAUACCUG